AUUUUGGACAAUGGGGGCAACCCUGAUCCAGCCAUCCCGCGUGUGCGGUGAAGUCCUUCGGGUUGUAAAGCACUUUUGGCCGGGAAGAACAGGCUCUGGCUAAUACCUGGAGCUGCUGUCGGUACCUGCUGCAUAAGCACCGGCUAACUACGUGCCAGCAGCCGCGGUAAUACGUAGGGUGCAAGCGUUAAUCGGAAUUACUGGGCGUAAAGCGUGCGCAGGCGGUUCGGCAAGAAGGAUGUGAAAUCCCAGGGAUUAACCUUGGAACUGCAUUCUUAACUGCCGGGCUAGAGUAUGUCAGAGGGGGGUAGAAUUCCGCGUGUAGCAGUGAGAUGCGUAGAGAUGCGGAGGAAUACCGAUGGCGAAGGCAGCCCCCUGGGAUAAUACUGACGCUCAUGCACGAAAGCGUGGGGAGCAAAC
rnacentral:rRNA from 1 species